rnacentral:rRNA from 1 species
GGUUAAGUGACUAAGCGUACACGGUGGAUGCCUUGGCAGUCAGAGGCGAUGAAAGACGUAGUAACUUGCGAUAAGCCCAGAUUAGGUAGUAACAACCAUUUGAGUCUGGGAUUUCUGAAUGGGGAAACCCACGUGCAUAAGCACGUAUCCUUACCUGAAUACAUAGGGUAAGGAGGCGAACCGGGGGAACUGAAACAUCUAAGUACCCCGAGGAAAAGAAAUCAACCGAGAUUCCGAAAGUAGCGGCGAGCGAAAUUGGACUAGCCCUUAAGCUUUACACGCGUUAGACGAACGGUCUGGAAAGUCCGACGAUACAGGGUGAUAGUCCCGUAGUUGACGACGUGUGUUCAGUGAAAUCGAGUAGGGCGGGACACGUGAUAUCCUGUCUGAAUAUGGGGGGACCAUCCUCCAAGGCUAAAUACUACUGACUGACCGAUAGUGAACCAGUACCGUGAGGGAAAGGCGAAAAGAACCCCUGUGAGGGGAGUGAAAUAGAACCUGAAACCGUGUACGUACAAGCAGUAGGAGCAGGCUUUGUCCUGUGACUGCGUACCUUUUGUAUAAUGGGUCAGCGACUUAUAUUCAGUGGCAAGGUUAACCAUCUAGGGGAGCCGUAGGGAAACCGAGUCUUAACUGGGCGUUCAGUCUCUGGAUAUAGACCCGAAACCAGGUGAUCUAGCCAUGGGCAGGUUGAAGGUUGAGUAACAUCAACUGGAGGACCGAACCGACUAAUGUUGAAAAAUUAGCGGAUGACUUGUGGCUAGGGGUGAAAGGCCAAUCAAACCUGGAGAUAGCUGGUUCUCCCCGAAAGCUAUUUAGGUAGCGCCUCGGACGAAUACUACUGGGGGUAGAGCACUGUUAAGGCUAGGGGGUCAUCCCGACUUACCAACCCUUUGCAAACUCCGAAUACCAGUAAGUACUAUCCGGGAGACACACGGCGGGUGCUAACGUCCGUCGUGGAGAGGGAAACAACCCAGACCGCCAGCUAAGGUCCCAAAUUACUACUAAGUGGGAAACGAUGUGGGAAGGCUCAGACAGCCAGGAUGUUGGCUUAGAAGCAGCCAUCAUUUAAAGAAAGCGUAAUAGCUCACUGGUCGAGUCGGCCUGCGCGGAAGAUGUAACGGGGCUAAGUAGUAAACCGAAGCUGCGGCAAUAUACUUUUGUAUAUUGGGUAGGGGAGCGUUCUGUAAGCGGUUGAAGGUGUGUGGUAACGCAUGCUGGACGUAUCAGAAGUGCGAAUGCUGACAUGAGUAACGAUAAAGGGGGUGAAAAACCUCCUCGCCGGAAGACCAAGGGUUCCUGUCCAACGUUAAUCGGGGCAGGGUAAGUCGACCCCUAAGGCGAGGCCGAAAGGCGUAGUCGAUGGGAAACGGGUUAAUAUUCCCGUACUUCUUACAAUUGCGAUGGGGGGACGGAGAAGGCUAGGUGGGCCUGGCGACGGUUGUCCAGGUUCAAGUGCGUAGGCUUAAGAGUUAGGUAAAUCCGGCUCUUUUUAAGGCUGAGACACGACGUCGAGCACCUACGGGUGUGAAGUCAUUGAUGCCAUGCUUCCAGGAAAAGCCUCUAAGCUUCAGAUUGUAAGGAAUCGUACCCCAAACCGACACAGGUGGUCGGGUAGAGAAUACCAAGGCGCUUGAGAGAACUCGGGUGAAGGAACUAGGCAAAAUGGUACCGUAACUUCGGGAGAAGGUACGCUCUCGACGGUGAAGUCCCUUGCGGAUGGAGCUAUUGAGAGUCGCAGAUACCAGGUGGCUGCAACUGUUUAUUAAAAACACAGCACUGUGCAAAAUCGUAAGAUGACGUAUACGGUGUGACGCCUGCCCGGUGCCGGAAGGUUAAUUGAUGGGGUUAGACUUCGGUCGAAGCUCUUGAUCGAAGCCCCGGUAAACGGCGGCCGUAACUAUAACGGUCCUAAGGUAGCGAAAUUCCUUGUCGGGUAAGUUCCGACCUGCACGAAUGGCGUAAUGAUGGCCACGCUGUCUCCACCCGAGACUCAGUGAAAUUGAAAUCGCUGUGAAGAUGCAGUGUACCCGCGGCUAGACGGAAAGACCCCGUGAACCUUUACUACAGCUUGGCACUGAACAUUGACCCUACAUGUGUAGGAUAGGUGGGAGGCUUUGAAGCACGUACGCCAGUAUGUGUGGAGCCGUCCUUGAAAUACCACCCUUGUAGUGUUGAUGUUCUAACGUUGACCCCUAAUCGGGGUUGCGGACAGUGCCUGGUGGGUAGUUUGACUGGGGCGGUCUCCUCCCAAAGAGUAACGGAGGAGCACGAAGGUGGGCUAAUCACGGUUGGACAUCGUGAGGUUAGUGCAAUGGCAUAAGCCCGCUUGACUGCGAGAAUGACAAUUCGAGCAGGUGCGAAAGCAGGUCAUAGUGAUCCGGUGGUUCUGAAUGGAAGGGCCAUCGCUCAACGGAUAAAAGGUACUCCGGGGAUAACAGGCUGAUACCGCCCAAGAGUUCAUAUCGACGGCGGUGUUUGGCACCUCGAUGUCGGCUCAUCACAUCCUGGGGCUGAAGUCGGUCCCAAGGGUAUGGCUGUUCGCCAUUUAAAGUGGUACGCGAGCCUGGGUUUAGAACGUCGUGAGACAGUUCGGUCCCUAUCUGCCGUGGGCGUUGGAAGAUUGAAGGGGGCUGCUCCUAGUACGAGAGGACCGGAGUGGACGAACCUCUGGUGUUCGGGUUGUGUCGCCAGACGCAUUGCCCGGUAGCUAAGUUCGGAAUCGAUAACCGCUGAAAGCAUCUAAGCGGGAAGCGAGCCCUGAGAUGAGUCUUCCCUGAUACUUUAAGUAUCCUAAAGGGUUGUCGGAGACUACGACGUUGAUAGGUCAGGUGUGUAAGUGCUGUGAGGCAUUGAGCUAACUGAUACUAAUUGCCCGUGAGGCUUAACCAU